UGAACGCUCAUGAAUACUAGACCAUCUUCAGUGUAAAUAUAUUUAACGAAUCAUCUGUUUUUAAAUGUGAAAUUGUACAGUGAAAGUGCUCCAUUAUUCAUGCAUUUUCACCAAUGAUCUUGAAAAAUCUAAAAAAUUCAUUUAUUAAAUUUGUCCCUUAUUUAACAUCAUUUUGAUUCAAAAAAGUGAGAUAGGCAGUGGGAAAGUAAAAGAAACAAGGACC
rnacentral:lncRNA from 1 species